AGCUCGCCAGAGGAAAAAGGAAACAGAAACUGCGCAACUCGCGCCUUGGAAAUACUGCCGGCUAGCGCUGCGGGAAACGGCUCCCCUUAACUCUGAAGUUCCGCGAUCUUCUCUUUGUGCGCGGGCGGAUGGAUCAACGCCGCCAAGUGGGGAAAGCGUGAACGCAGUCCCCCACUACAACUAAUUAUGCAGUCGAGUUUUCCACAUUUGGGAAUAUCUCAGGGGUCAGCACAUCCGGAGUGCAAUCGAUGAGCCUCACGCUGGGAAAAACCACCUUCGUGAUCAUGGUAUCUUCCCUGCCAGAGAGAAACCAAUCAGCUUCAUUUUCAACUUCUUCUAUGACUCCAGAGGAUUCACUUUGCAUCUUGUGACAAAUGAAUAUAUUACCUGAAAAAAAAAUGACAGGAUAGAUAUUGAAGAAAUAAUUUUUUAUAGGACUCUGGAGUGAAGGGAUUAAUAUUGACCAGAGCCAAUGAGGUCAUCUCAUCCUUGAGGGGAGCAGGUGUGAGCUUCAAAUGCUUAGGGCCUCUGGAAGGAAGCUUCCCUGUUGGAGAAAUCACCAACCGGCUCAGCAUGGUCUGAAUGAGGAUGACAAAAGGAGUUGCUGCACAGGGGGAAAGCGAAGUUCCCAGGAGUAAGAUGUGCAAGAAGGGGGCAGCCUUGCAUCUCAGGGCUGAGUUCCCUCAACUGUGUGCUUGAGGGAAGUUCUCCCCUUGCAGACACACUGCUGAGUGAUAAGGAAGCGCCUAGACUCCACUCUGACCAGACUUGGUUCUGAGGCCUAUGAAAUGUUGAUGGGAAGAACAGAAGCAGGAAAAUCUAUCUAUUCAAAUUUGCAAGACGUGGAAACUUUUAUUCACCUUCCUGGUUAGACUGUUCCUUUGUCAAAGUAAAGCUAAGGCCAUGGAAAAUGAGCUAUUUGAGAGUCUGUCGCUCCAAGGAAGAACAUGCUGGCCUAAUUGUCCCCCAAGUCAGGAGAGAGAAUUGUAAAAAACACUUAAACAGGCCUAAGUAAAGGUCCAGCACAUUAUUUAUUUAAGACUGAAUUAGGACUGAGUCAUUCUGACUCUGAAAAAAGAGUGUUGUUGGAUUCUUAUGUAUUUAGUGGGUCUGCCCUAUUGAAAACCAUUGUGAAGUAUGGUUUCCCAAGCAAGAAAUGACACUUUCACUGUCAGUCUUUCUAGGAGUCUGGCAGAAUCCAGGACCGGGAUUACCCUUAUUUAUGAAGCGACCUUAGACUAACAGUGGCUCUCUGGGUCUCCAGACAAUUGGCCAGGGACUCUAAAAACCAGAAACAAAGUUGAGAGAACUCCAUGCUGGUGGAGAAAAACAGCUGGCCUUUAUCACCAGAAUGUGCCCCAUAGAAGCAGCAAAGCAGCAAGCGACGUUCUUAAACAAGGGCCUGUGGGCCUCGUCAAGAUCUGGAGGAAUCAUCUACGACUCACUGCUGAGUGAGAGGGCUAGGCAGUGUCUUUAAGGUCCUGCCAGCUUUAACAUUGUAUGCUUUUUCUUUUGUUCAAUCUCUCACCACAACUGGAAGUGUUGCCUCAACUACACAGGAGAAAGUUUGCAGUAACUUAGAGAAAACAUUAUUUUAAUCACCAGUGUAUGUUCUCCUGCUCCCUGGACAAAUCCAUCAGCAGCGGCAACACUGACCAGGUCCAGAUUGGGGCCGCUGCGGUGGAUGUGAAUCCAUUGAAACUAGGGGUCUCCAGUGCUCCUGA
rnacentral:antisense_RNA from 1 species